AAAGUAAACCAUCCUGUCUCACUCUUCGACCCCAGAGGGUUACGUGUUCGCGGUCUUGUUUUCCUGGCAGCAGGCCUCCGUGAUCUCCGGAACAAACGCCGUGAAUCUCGUGCCCAAGCAAGACUGCCUGGACCUUCCAGGCAGACAGAGAAGGACCAGGCUUCGCAGCCUCUGACCCGACAAAGGCAGGACUUUGGUAAAUGUCCAGACACCGAAGGCUGGACUAGAGCUGGCCCCCGUGGCGCAUGUUCUUGCCCAGAAGCAGCAGUUUGCAAAAACUCAGGAGGUGUCAUUGGGCAAGGAUGAAGGCAAGUAAGUUUCGGCGCUUUGUCCCCGGACCCCAACACAACCCCCGCGGGUUUGGAAGCUGAACCUAAUCGAAGAUUCUGCAGAGACGUCUCUGGCGCGAGAGCAGAUGGCAUAGGCCUGGACGCUCCCCAUCAGCAAAGUCCAUCCGGAAGCGGCCUUGCCUUGUGGACGGUAAUAGACGAGACUCCUGGAGGAACAGCAGUUAUUCUCAACCUAUGGUAAUGAAAGCCACUGAGCAAAGACAAUUGAGCAAAGAAGACAGAAGGAGCCUGAGAGCUUCAUGGCGUUCUUGACCAGUGGUGCUAGCCCUGGAUGAUUGACCUCAGGACCUCUUGUUAAAUGACAUAUGCUAACUCCUUUCUGUUUAACCCACUGCAGUAGAAUUUUAUUUUGCAGUGAAUCAAAUUCUAACUGAUGAUAUUGGCUAAUGUGUGUUAGUACCUGCUUUGGGCCAGUGGACUUCUAAGAAUUUUUAUAUACUAACUUCAUUUUUUAAGCACAAAUAUAUUUUUAAAAUUUAUUUAUUCUUUAAUUGAAGGAUAAUUGCUUUAUGUAGUAACACUUUUAAUCCACACAGUGAAUGACUUUAUGAUAUAGAUGAAAGUAGCAAGCAGCAUUAAUGUCACCUGGAAAUUUGUUAGCAAUGCAGGUUUGGGGGCCUGACCCCAGAGCUCCUUAGGCGGAAUCUCUGGGAACAGGGCCCACAGUCUGUGUUUUAACAAACCCUCCAGGUGAUUCUAGCGUCUACUGAAGUUUGACAACUUUAUAGAUAGGGUAUUUUUACUGUCCCCAUUUUACAGGUAAGUAGACUGAGCUGAAUUUAAGUCAUUUGCUCAAUGUCACACAACUAGUAAGACUAACUCCUAAGUUUGUGUUUGUAGCCACUGUGUGACAUCACAUGUUCAGAAUUCCUGCUCUAGAAUAGUAGCCUUCAAAAUUUGAAAGCAUACCCCUUUGAAAAAUUAUGUACCCCUUGUACAUUUUUAGAUCAGCAUCUAAAAAUUUCAAAUCGUAAGUUCAAACAGUUGUAAAGAAUGUGAUUUCCAGUACACUGUAAUUUGUGGCAUUUUAAAAAUGUGUUCCAUCACCCUUCUAAAUGAAUCUAAAUACCAUAGUGAAUAUUUGGUUAAUGAACUAUCAUCUAUUUUAAAAAAAAAUAAAUUUUCUUUCACAUUUGA